AGAGUUUGAUCCUGGCUCAGAUUGAACGCUGGCGGCAUGCCUUACACAUGCAAGUCGAACGGUAACGGGCCUUCGGGUGCCGACGAGUGGCGAACGGGUGAGUAAUAUAUCGGAACGUGCCCAAUAGUGGGGGAUAGCCCGGCGAAAGCCGGAUUAAUACCGCAUGCGACCUGAGGGUGAAAGCGGGGGAUCGCAAGACCUCGCGCUAUUGGAGCGGCCGAUAUCAGAUUAGCUAGUUGGUGGGGUAAAGGCCUACCAAGGCGACGAUCUGUAGCUGGUCUGAGAGGACGACCAGCCACACUGGGACUGAGACACGGCCCAGACUCCUACGGGAGGCAGCAGAAGGG
rnacentral:rRNA from 1 species